rnacentral:rRNA from 1 species
UACGUAGGGUGCAAGCGUUGUCCGGAAUUAUUGGGCGUAAAGAGCUCGUAGGCGGUUUGUCGCGUCUGCUGUGAAAACUCAGGGCUUAACCCUGAGCCUGCAGUGGGUACGGGCAGACUAGAGUGUGGUAGGGGAGAUCGGAAUUCCUGGUGUAGCGGUGAAAUGCGCAGAUAUCAGGAGGAACACCGAUGGCGAAGGCAGGUCUCUGGGCCACUACUGACGCUGAGAAGCGAAAGCGUGGGAGCAAACGGG